GACGGAGGAUGCAAGUGUUAUCCGGAAUCACUGGGCGUAAAGCGUCUGUAGGUGGUUUGAAAAGUCCACUGUUAAAAUUGAGGCUUAACCUCAAAGAUGCCGUGGAAACUUUCAAACUCGAGUAUGGUAGGGUAGAGGGAAUUUCCAGUGGAGCGGUGAAAUGCGUAGAUAUGUGGAGGAAUACCGGUGGCGAAGGCGGCCUCCUGGCUUAAUACUGACGCUGAGGUGCGAAAGCGUGGGAUCAAACAGG
rnacentral:rRNA from 1 species